rnacentral:miRNA from 1 species
AUGUGAUAUUAAGUAGAGAUGGUA